CAGCAGUCGCCACGGUAAAACGAAGGGUGCAAGCGUUACUCGGAAUUACUGGGCGUAAAGCGUGCGUAGGUGGUGGUUUAAGCCCGUUGUGAAAGCCCUGGGCUCAACCUGGGAAUUGCAGUGGAUACUGGAUCACUAGAGUGUGGUAGAGGAUAGUGGAAUUUCCGGUGUAGCAGUGAAAUGCGUAGAGAUCGGAAGGAACAUCUGUGGCGAAGACGACUAUCUGGGCCAACACUGACACUGAGGCACGAAAGCGUGGGGAGCAAACAGGAUUAGAUACCCCAGUAGUCCCUGUCUCUUAUAC
rnacentral:rRNA from 1 species